rnacentral:rRNA from 1 species
UACAGAGGGUGCAAGCGUUGUUCGGAAUUAUUGGGCGUAAAGCGCGUGUAGGCGGCAUGGCAAGUCGGGUGUGAAAGCCCUCAGCUUAACUGAGGAAGUGCGCCCGAAACUGCCGUGCUUGAGUGCCGGAGAGGGUGGCGGAAUUCCCCAAGUAGAGGUGAAAUUCGUAGAUAUGGGGAGGAACACCGGUGGCGAAGGCGGCCACCUGGACGGUAACUGACGCUGAGAGGCGAAAGCCAGGGGAGCGAACGGG